AUUGAACGCUGGCGGCAUGCUUUACACAUGCAAGUCGAACGGCAGCGCGGGCUUCGGCCUGGCGGCGAGUGGCGAACGGGUGAGUAAUGCAUCGGAACGUGCCCAGUAGUGGGGGAUAGCCCGGCGAAAGCCGGAUUAAUACCGCAUACGACCUGAGGGUGAAAGCGGGGGACCGAAAGGCCUCGCGCUCUUGGAGCGGCCGAUGUCGGAUUAGCUAGUUGGUGGGGUAAAGGCUUACCAAGGCGACGAUCCGUAGCUGGUCUGAGAGGACGACCAGCCACACUGGAACUGAGACACGGCCCAGACUCCUACGGGAGGCAGCAGUGGGGAAUUUUGGACAAAGGGGGCAACCCUGAUCCAGCCAUGCCGCGUGCGGGAAGAAGGCCUUCGGGUUGUAAACCGCUUUUGUUCGGGAAGAAAUCCUCUGGGCUAAUACCCCGGGGGGAUGACGGUACCGGAAGAAUAAGCACCGGCUAACUACGUG
rnacentral:rRNA from 1 species